CAGUUUCAUCUGAGCAACACAGGACCACGUGGAACGCUUUUGAAACACGUGUUCGGAAAAAGCAAUCCUUAUUUGCGCCCAGAUGUGCGAUCCCCCAGCUGCAGCCCGGGGAAGCUGGGCACAGGGCUCUGCUCACCAGGAGCCUAAGAGCUCCUCUGUAAAAACGAUCCUCCGUCUCCUCCUAGACCCUGCAGUCAUUGCUAGACCUGGAAAAGCCGGAGAGUUCAGAUUUGAACAUGUGGAUUUUUUCAGAAUGAAAGAGAGAGAGAAAUAGAUUAUUUCGGCUAUAGAUUUUCUGGCUCCUUUUGAGACUGCAGAGGAUGCCGAUUUACCCAAAUCACGGCAACGUUUGGGGAAGCAGCAUGCACUCCCACGGUUUUGCAAAGAGGAGGUGGGGAAGGUCUCGCGACUCGGCGGCAGCCUCUGGCACUGCUCCCCGUCCCGAACUCGGCGUGGUUUGCUAAGUCACCAUCGAAGACGAACGGCGUGGGAAAUGGUGAAGGAGGACGUUAGUCUGUAAAUUUUUCUUUUUAACACAUAUAUUUCUUAUCAGGCAGCUCUUUCAAAUCCUGUUUCGGAAAAGCGUCGCAAGCUUGGUAUUUGAAAAGAACUCUCUUGGUUUUUUUUUUUCUUCAUCUUGAAUUUGUGUGUGUCAUGGAAAAAAGUUUUGUGACGUCCCUGGCCGCCUGCCCUCUCACGGGACUUUGGUUCAGCGCUGCAUCUGCUAGUUCUGCUUUCCAAUCUCCAGCUGCUAAAUCCCGUACUGCUGGCUGGCGAUGCUGCCGCAGGGUCGCAGAGACCGCUUACGCCAGAGGACCCGGGAGUUCUCGGAUCAAGAACCAACCCAGCCUUUGCUUGCAACCCUUGGACAGCCAAAACCCUCCAGCAGACCGAGAAGCCCUUACCGUUAAUCAACAGCGGGAGAUUAAAGAUCAGAGCUACUACCAGUCUGCAGUGCAUUUGGUGGUUCCUCUGCCUUUCCACCCAUGCACAUGUCCCAGCCUAGAAGGGGCAACGCCGAGCGGAAGGUAAGCUCCUCGGACCAGACUCCGCUAAAGUCUUGGAAGGGAGCAGCUUUCGAGGUGAGGUUACUUGAGCAAAAUCCCGCAGCUGCAGUUUGGAAAUGGAAGCAGAUAAAGCUCGUCUAGAAGAACGAUCCAUGUCAUUAAACUCAAUAAACUUUGCAUCUACCCUUCUACUUAACUGGAAGUGAUGGUUGCUCUACAUCUUAUUUUGAAGGAGAAGGCUCAUUCGCUUCUUCAGCAACACGACUGUCUGUGCAGACCUCGAGUCGCCUGCUCGGGCAGCACGGGGCUUUGCAGCAGGGCCUGGAUGCUCUGGCUGGAAGCGCUGGGGCUGGUCUUCACCAGGCCGUGCGCUUCGCACGGGGCGUUCGCAGUCCACCUUCCCGCAGAAGUGAAACGGAGACCGUCAGAACGAGUGACGCACUGGGGAUGUGCGAUUUUUAAAGACGCCAACUUGUUGCAAUCAAACCCAGUUUUUGUCACAGUGUACGGUAACGCCGUUUGGCUGGUGGUUAUUUUUCUGCUGUGUUUCACCUCACUACUCGCAGCCACCGCAGCACUAGAGCGAUUCCAGAGAACCUUUUUUACUGUCAUGUAGCAAACACAGAAAACGUACGGUAUGAACAAAUGAAAACAAUAUUGCCACCUCAGCUUACUGCCCUCGCUCUCGUAUUAAUAACCAUAAGUGAAACUUCAUACAACACUGAUGUUUGAAAUCUUAUUUUAGAAACAACACUCUGCUUCUACUAAGCAGACAGUUCCCUUCCUCUCUCUCUUGGCUCAGCACGUUUUCAGCCAGCUUCCAAAAAAGUCGUUGCAAUGUGGAAGCGUUUUCCUGCAGAAAUUUGCAGAGGCAGCAAGCAGAAUGGAUUGAAGGAUUCAUGAAAAUAUAUUUCUUUCAUCCUUAAUACUUUCUCCGUGUGAAUCAUGAUAUUGAAAAAUUGUCAGGUCCUCAGAAGAGAGGUUAUUUAUCAAUAAUCAGGAGAACUUCGGUUGCUUGUGUGCCCAAAUAUUACUUCCUUUUAUUUAAACAAAAUAGCUGGCUUUGCAGGUAUCUUGUCAUUGACAAAUGUUUUAUUGACCUAAGUUGUUGUUCUGUGGGCUUUUAAAGAAAGUUCUCAAGCUUAUCCAAAAAAUGCAUGUUUUUAGCUCUUCUAAAGAGCUUUUGCUUUCACAAUAAUCAUAUUGCUCUUCAGCUCUUUGGAUACGCUUACUAGACCAUAAGACGCAGGUAGCUGGGUUUGUUGCCUCCGUUGCAGGUGAGCGUGCGAACAUUUUCCUUGGCGGAACUGGAAAAUGUUCCUGAGCGUUGGAACCCGUGGGGAUGAUAAAUAGCCACGUCAGUAUUUAACACUAGCCGAAAGCAUUUGAGACCAGAUUGAACUAAUUUUACUAGUAGUUAGGGUAAUUAAAUGUUUUCACCAGGAUGGAAAGUCAUGGUUUGAUUUUUGAAGUAAUUUGCUUGACAAAUAUCAGAUGUUAAAAUAAUUACAGCUUAACCAUUUAUAUUUAAUCUCAAGUGGACCUGUGAAAACAAGCUUCUAAAUUAUAUCAGAUUCAUACAUUAAUUGACUCAUAGAUUUUGGGACCAACGGGGACUGUUAUGGUCGUCCAGUCUGGCCUCCUGCCUAUGCGGUCAUGGAAUGCCACCAAGUAAUUUGUGUUUUCAACUCACAACCUCUGUUUUAGAAGAAAUCCCUGCAAAUUGAAAAGCUUGCAGUGAAUUCAUAGCAUUUGUAAUCUUAUUCGAUAGAAAAUCUGUAACGAUGCAGAAGUUCUGGUUGAGCUUGGAAAGAUAAGGCUUGCACAGGUAUUAUGUUUAUGGAGAUGUUCCCCAAACUUUUGCAGCCCUGUUGAGUGAUUUUUGGUACUGCUAACGUGGCAAGCAUCAGAUUGGCCCCACUCUUAGAGAUAAAAUGAGGCACCCGGUGAUAUUCUAACAACGCUGCAGGAACUACCUUUGUCUCAAAUCCACGCUCUGGUUUCCCUGUUCACCCAGUGUGAUGAUCGCUCUGUUGCGUUAUUUUCCGGGUGUGUCAGUCACAGGACAAUUUUGACUUGAAACUGAGGUUUGACACGGUUGUUUGUCAGACACCUGUUAUAAUGAACCUAGGCAAAUAAUUUACAGCAUUACUGUUAGGAAACUCAAAUUGGUAGUUAUAAAUUGCAGGAUUUUAUUCUUCUGAUAUAGAAUGCUAUAUCUUUCAUGCUGUAAAUCGCAGUGGUUCCAAUUGGCUAAGUCAUAAAUUGUUUGUACAGUUACAAUUUUGGUAAAAACAUAAUGUGAAUUUUAUUGCGUUUGAAUCUCUUGCUGCAUUUUUGAAACUUUAUAAAGCAAAAAUUCUGAAAUUAUUGAAAGCUAUGUAUAGAUUGUGCCUAGAAGAAAACAGGUAUUACUACAUGUAGAUAAAAAUGUACCACUUUCUCCCUGAAUAUAUUUGUUAUUGCAGUUUAAAAAAUAUCACCUCUCAUAUGCUAGUAACCUUAUGUACAUUACUUCACCUCUUCUGAUCUACAGAGACAAAAAACCUGUUAGCGUCCUUGAAGUUAAACAGGAAAGUGACUUAGUGUAAAGUCAGAAAUGACCCUAAUGGGGUCCUACGUGUUCUAAACUGGCUCUGGAUAUAUUGAAUUAAUAAAUAC